rnacentral:misc_RNA from 1 species
GGGCCACAGAAUAAUUAUGAAAUGUUUGUGCUCGAUUGGCUAAAUGAUAAACAUCAAAAGAACGCUCCGCACCUUGUAAAAAUAGCAGAUGGAGUAUGACGCGUACUUGAUUGAUUUGGUGUAAGAAAAACGCCAACAAGAGCGCUCCGUGCCUUGUAAAAACCAACGAACAGAUCGCCACAUCGCCGUAAAGUCGCAGAAGCUGUACCGGUAGCAAUUAGCAGAGGAAGCCGAGAAUUCUCCGAUUAGAAAAUUGAGAGGGUUUAGGGUUUCGUCGAAAUUGGAGGAGAAAAAGGGAAAAAUCUAACAGCCAUGGAGAGUGCCUUUGCGAGCGCCUCUGCAAUCGCGGACCAGAGGCAAAAGAUCGAACAGUACAAGCACAUUCUCGCUUCCGUCAUCUCGUCAAACGACAUCUUUCAGGCCAAGAAGUUUAUCGAUCACAUGUUGUCGGACGAUGUGCCAUUGGUAGUCUCGAGGCAGCUAUUACAGACUUUUGCGCAGGAGUUGGGGAGAUUGGAGCCGGAGACGCAAAAGGAGAUUGCUCAUUAUACUCUUGCUCAGAUUCAACCUCGGGUUGUUUCUUUCGAAGAACAGGUUUUAGUAAUUAGAGAGAAACUCGCCGAGUUAUAUGAGUCUGAACAACAGUGGUCAAAAGCAGCUCAGAUGCUCAGUGGCAUUGAUCUAGACUCUGGAAUGAGGGUCAUUGAUGAUACAUUUAGGCUAUCAAAGUGUGUCCAAAUUGCUCGAUUAUAUCUUGAGGAUGAUGAUGCAGUUAAUGCUGAGGCUUUCAUCAAUAAAGCGUCAUUUUUGGUUAGCAACAGCCAGCACGAAGUAUUGAACUUACAAUACAAGGUUUGUUAUGCCAGGAUCUUGGACUUGAAGAGGAAGUUUUUGGAAGCUGCACUGCGUUAUUAUGAUAUAUCUCAGAUUGAGAAGAGGCGGAUAGGAGAUGAAACCAUUGAUGAGGAAGCUUUGGAACAAGCUCUCUCUGCUGCUGUGACAUGUACAAUCUUGGCUGCGGCAGGUCCUCAACGCUCUCGUGUUCUUGCCACUUUGUACAAGGAUGAGCGAUGCUCAAAGCUAAAUAUUUAUCCUAUAUUGCAAAAGGUCUAUUUAGAGAGAAUUUUGAGAAAACCGGAAAUUGAUGCAUUUGCUGAAGAAUUAAAAGCACAUCAGAAAGCUCUUUUGCCAGACAAUUUUACUGUUCUGGAUCGUGCUAUGAUUGAGCACAAUCUUCUGAGUGCAAGUAAACUUUACACAAAUAUAAGUUUUGAUGAAUUGGGCACCUUGCUGGGAAUUCUUCCAAAUAAGGCAGAAAAGAUAGCAUCAAGAAUGAUUUAUGAGGAUAGAAUGAGGGGAUCAAUUGAUCAGGUAUGAAAUUGUAAAGUUCUAAAAUUCAGCUUGCUAAAUUUCGUUAGUUUCUUCAAACUAGCAAGUAUUUUUGUUGGCCAGAUUAUAAUUAGUUUUGCUACUUGGACCACAAACUAAUAUUUGCAAAAUUUGAAUGUCCUCAUCCAUUUCAGGCUUUGCUUGCAUGUACUGUAGCCAAUUUGUAAUAUUUAACUGAUAAUUUGGACAAUUGGUUUCUGCUUUGCUUGCUUGGUUUUCUUGCGAUUUGUUUGCUUGCUUGCAGUAAAGUUUAUUUGGCCUUUGUUUGCUUGCUUGCAGUAAAGUUUAUUUGGCCUUGGCUCUCCUUUUUUCUGGCUGUGCUGGUCAUUUUCUUUUGACCGAUGGUCUAUCCGUCAUUACUGUUAAAGCUUUUGCUGAAAAAAUCACUUUUUUUUUGAAAUAUAUAAGUUAAAGGGUAUCAAAAAUUAAUUUACAAUUAAAUUUGACGUGCUUUAAUUAUAAAGUAAUAAAACAGUUUUUGGCAAACGACUUUUUCCAAUAACAUUUUUUUUUUAACUGAAAAGUGUUGUUUUUGGUUCAUAACCUUAAUGCCAGACAAGACCUGACGAGUUAGGAAAACGUUGCAUUUUUCUAAUGUCUAAAAUAGAUUGCAUCUGUCUGAACUUCUUAAUACGUUAGGUUGAAGCUGUCAUUCACUUUGAGGAUGAUACUGAAGAGCUGCAGCAAUGGGAUCAACAGGUCAUUAUCAACCCUGCUUUAAUCAAGGAAUAUUUCAGCGAGUAACAAAUUUUGGUCUAAGCCAAUGGCAUAGUGAAUUUUGAUUUGUUUGAUGGAGCCUAUUGUUGAUAUUAAUUAAUUUUCAUCAUUUCUCAUGUUUGUUGUUAUGCAGAUUGUUGGCUUGUGUCAGGCCUUGAAUGAUGUCCUGGAUAGCAUGGCGAAAAAGGGCUUAUCAAUCCCUGUGUGAGUUAUUUUUUUUUUCUUUUAACUAGUCAGCAGAUAGAAAUGAAUUUCUUGCACAAAAAGCUUAAAAGACGACUAGUCCAUGAUAAUAGCAUUAUUUUGUGAAAGUUAUGAUUGUAGUUUUUUGUUACCUUUUUUUGUGGUCAAGAAAAUUCAGAAUUAACUUUACCAAUUUUAGUGAUCCAUUCUUGGUUUAUUUUUUCACCUGCGUGCUUUUUUGGGGGUGGAUAUUUCAUUUAUUUUUUAAUAUUAAUAUAUAUUUAUUCAUGAUUGGGCUUUUUUUCAGCACAUUCAUUUGAAAAUGCGCCCAAGUGUGCUGCUUAUUAGCUCCAUAAUGCAACAAGUUAUAAUUCAAACAAAUCUUAUUUCAUUUUUCUUUCUCUUUCCAUAUGGACCAUUACGUAUGGAUUAUUCCCGAGAUCCAACCAUAGUAUAAAAAAAUUAAUAAAUAAAUAAAAAAGAAGGAAAAGACAAGAAAGUGAAGUGAAAGUUGAUCCUCAAGGGAACAAAAUGGUGGGUGCCUACGGUACUCUUCUCAGUACAGUUAGUACGGGGCAAAUUAAAAUUUUUUUUUGGGAGCCCACAAAAGAGAUCAAGUGUGGAUUAGAUUAAGAUUAGGUGAUCAUGACCAUUGAAAGAGGUGGUGUCCUUCAGCAAUGUAAUGGAUAGGUACCGUAAUGUUUGUCUGGAUGGCUUCACGUACUGCGGUUCGGUGUUAAUAGCUCACAAGCUUGCGCAACUUGUGCUCCACUUUCUUCUCUUGGAGGAUCCACAUGUAUCCG